GGGCGGUUAGUUUAAUGGGAAAACAUUAUGGUAAUCUUAUAAAUUUGUCUGAUAAGAAUGCUUUAAGAUUUACAUUUUCACGGCUAAUGAAAAGAUACAGGUUCGAGUCCUGUACCGCCCUCCA
rnacentral:tRNA from 1 species